AAAAAUUCUAACUCUCUAACUUCAUUUUGUUAUAUUUUUUUUAUUACCAUUAAAACCAGAAACAUGGUAUAUAGUCAUUUUUUGUGUAUGAUAUUGAAAUCCCAACAUGUAAAAACACAUAUCAGGGAGGUGGCUUCCCCAGAUAUAGCCCUCCCCACACACACAGCCAUCAAACAUGUAUGAACACCUUGACACAAAAAUACACACACUGGCGCAUGCACACUAACAUGAACACAGAUACACACACACACUGGCAUACAAACUUGCACACACUCACUGACACACACACUGACAUACAGAUACACACUGGCACAUACACACACUAUUACACACUGAUACACAGACAAUCUGACACACAUAGACACAUACAUGUCAUGCUUUAUAUGCAGCCACUCUUCUGUUGCAAGAGUGCAUGAUUCUGAAUGCAUGUCCAGUACCCAAUUUAUUUUUCCCAUCAUAUUUGUCUCCUUAUCUAUGUUUCUCCAUCCAUCAUUUCUGUUCACUUUUGUUUAUCACCCUAUCAUCAUUUGUGUCUCUUCCCCCCUUCUACCUUUUUUUAUCCCAUCUCUCACCCAGUUCUGCAUUGGUACACCCACAUAUCCUACCCAUUUGUGCUUCUUUUCCCCAGUUGUGGGGAACACAUUUGUUCUCUCCACUGUUUCUUGCCCUUAUUUUUUUAUUAACGCCUUGUGCCGUAUUUGUCUACCCACCACUUGUUUCUCUUUGCCUCAUCUCCCAUCCACAUUUGCCUCUUUC